ACCCAGACCGCCAGCUAAGGUCCCAAAGUCAUGGUUAAGUGGGAAACGAUGUGGGAAGGCACAGACAGCCAGGAUGUUGGCUUAGAAGCAGCCAUCAUUUAAAGAAAGCGUAAUAGCUCACUGGUCGAGUCGGCCUGCGCGGAAGAUGUAACGGGGCUAAACCAUGCACCGAAGCUGCGGCAGCGACACUAUGUGUUGUUGGGUAGGGGAGCGUUCUGUAAGCCUGCGAAGGUGUGCUGUGAGGCAUGCUGGAGGUAUCAGAAGUGCGAAUGCUGACAUAAGUAACGAUAAAGCGGGUGAAAAGCCCGCUCGCCGGAAGACCAAGGGUUCCUGUCCAACGUUAAUCGGGGCAGGGUGAGUCGCACCCUAGGCGAGGCCGAAAGGCGUAGUCGAUGGGAAACAGGUUAAUAUUCCUGUACUUGGUGUUACUGCGAAGGGGGGGACGGAGAAGGCUAUGUUAGCCGGGCGACGGUUGUCCCGGUUUAAGCAUGUAGGCUGAUUGUCCAGGCAAAUCCGGAUAAUCAAGGCUGAGGUGUGAUGACGAGGCACUACGGUGCUGAAGUAACAAAUGCC
rnacentral:rRNA from 1 species